rnacentral:rRNA from 1 species
GGGGGCAAGCGUUGUUCGGAAUUACUGGGCGUAAAGGGCUCGUAGGCGGCCAACUAAGUCAGACGUGAAAUCCCUCGGCUUAACCGGGGAACUGCGUCUGAUACUGGAUGGCUUGAGUUUGGGAGAGGGAUGCGGAAUUCCAGGUGUAGCGGUGAAAUGCGUAGAUAUCUGGAGGAACACCGGUGGCGAAGGCGGCAUCCUGGACCAACACUGACGCUGAGGAGCGAAAGCCAGGGGAGCAAACGGG